rnacentral:rRNA from 1 species
AGUGAGGAAUCUUCCACAAUGGACGAAAGUCUGAUGGAGCGACACCGCGUGAAGGAUGAAGGCCUAACGGUUGUAAACUUCUUUUCUGAAGGAGCAUAAUGAGAGUACUUCAGGAAUAAGGGACGGCUAAAUACGUGCCAGCAGCCGCGGUAAUACGUAUGUCCCGAGUGUUACCCGGAAUCAUUGGGUGUAAAGGGUCUGUAGGCGGAAAUACAAGUCAGAUAUUAAAGACCGAGGCUCAACCUCGAGUUUGUGUUUGAAACUGUAUAUCUAGAAUUAGGGAGAGGUAAGUGGAAUUCUGUGUGUAGGGGUGCAAUCCGUAGAUACACAGAGGAACACCAAAAGCGAAGGCAACUUACUGGAACUAUAUUGACGCUGAGAGACGAAAGCGUGGGUAGCGAAAAGGAUUAGAUACCCUUGUAGUCCACGCCCUAAACGAUGAUAACUAAGUGUUGGGACUUGAUCCCAGUACUGAAGCUAACGCAUUAAGUUAUCCACCUGAGGAGUACGGUCGCAAGAUUAAAACUCAAAGGAAUAGACGGGGACCCACACAAGCAGUGGAUCACGUGGUUUAAUUCGAUAAUAAACGGGGAACCUUACCCAGACUUGACAUCCUAAGAAUUCCACAGAGAUGAGGAAGUGCCUUUAUUGGAACUUAGUGACAGGUGCUGCAUGGUUGUCGUCAGCUCGUGCCUUGAGGUGUUCGGUUAAGUCCGUUAACGAGCGCAACCCAUGUCUUUAGUUAUAAUGUCUAAAGAGACUGCCUUGGUUAACAAGGAGGAAGGUGUGGAUGACGUCAAAUCAGCAUGGCUUUUACGUCUGGGGCUACACACAUGAUACAAUGGUAUGAACAAAGGGCAGCAAUACAGUGAUGUUGAGCUAAUCCAUAAAUCAUAUCUUAGUCCGGAUUGGAGUCUGCAACUCGACUCCAUGAAGUUGGAAUUGCUAGUAAUCGUGAAUCAGAUAUGUCACGGUGAAUAUGU